AAUUGGAUCACUGUUGUUUCUGGUGUUAAUUCUUUGUUUGAUCUCUUUUCUGUAAUUAGCGACUUUUCUGGAUGAAUUUCUACUUUUUGUAUCAAAAUCGCCGGGGAAAGGACUCUUUCGAAGAUAACGAUUGAGAUUAAAUUAUUAUCAGAUGACCUCAGCAUCACAGGAUUUUUAUAUAAACUACAUCAUUAGUAUUGAACGUCUUACUCAUAACACGUAUAACCCUGUUUCUAUAAAUAUAUACUGAAUUACUGCAAAAUAUAUCUUCUGAACUCUGACAUAUAUGUAGCAAAAUUUCUCUUCUUUAUUGUCUGGAAUACACAGAAAAUUAUAUUUGCAUAUUAAUUAAUCCUUCACCAUUUCAUCUGUGCAUAUCAGUCCCACACGUUCAAGCUAUUUUAUGUUAAAACUGCCCAUAUCUGGCCUCUUACACUCACCAUGCAAUGUCUUAUAAACAUAAAGAAUCACAUCGUUGAAAUCUUAAAGCAAUAAGAUAAUAAAUGAUUAAUUCAGAAGAAUUUGAAUAAAUAAUCAUUACAUUUGACAGAGUAAUCUGAAUGUUAAUGAGUUCAAGUAAUUAAGAAGGCAGUUUGCAGCAUCUUCAGAUAUUAACAAGGAACACUUUUGAUGGAGAUAUAUCAGUAGAAAUAUUUGUUAAGAGUAAUAUACGAGAAGAAGGAAAACAUUUGUGUUCUAUGACGAGAGAAAGGAAAAUUAUGGAAAAUGAAUUAUAUCGGAGUGAAGUUGAAUGUAAAAGAGAGUCUGAAGAAAUUGAUUUUUCUGAUGAGGA